rfam:Solanum tuberosum cultivar DM 1-3 516 R44 scf00060_108, whole genome shotgun sequence.
AGGUGUGAUGAUGAGGUUACUGAAUAAUCUCGUUAAUCUGAUAAUAGCUGAGGAAAAUCUCUCUAUCCAUUCUUAAUCUACUGAGC